ACGGGUGAGUAAUGCUUAUCUAACUUGCCAAUUAGUGGGGAUAACCAUGGGAAACCAUGGCUAAUACCGCAUUUGUUACUUCGGUAAUGAAAGAGAGUCGCAAGAUUCUCGCUAAUUGAUAGGGAUAAGUCGUAUUAGUUAGUUGGUGGGGUAAUGGCCUACCAAGACCAUGAUGCGUAGCCAGUCUGAGAGGAUGAAUGGCCACAAGGGAACUGAGACACGGUCCCUACUCCUACGGGAGGCAGCAGUGAGGAAUUUUCGGCAAUGGGGGCAACCCUGACCGAGCAAUACUACGUGAAGGAGGAAGGUCUACGGAUUGUAAACUUCUGUUAGCAGGGAAGAAGGGCUGGACGUGAGUUCAGUUUUGACGGUACCUGCAGAGAAAGCCACGACUAACUACGUGCCAGCAGUCGCGGUAAGACGUAGGUGGCGAACGUUAUCCGGAAUUAUUGGGCGUAAAGGGUGCGUAGAUGGUGUAAUAAGUUAUCAGCGGUAAAUCGGGGCUCAACCUCGUGGAAGUCGGUAAUACUGUUAUACUUGAGUGCAGGAGAGGUUAACGGAACUCCAUGUGGAGCGGUAAAAUGCGUAGAUAUAUGGAAGAACACCAAUAACGGCGAAGGCAGUUAACUAUUCUGUUACUGACAUUGAGGCACGAAAGCGUGGGGAGCAAAAAGGAUUAGAUACCCUUGUAGUCCACGCCCUAAACGAUGAGUGCUAGAUAUUGGGAACUUGAUUCUCAGUGUCGCUAGUUAACACGGUAAGCACUCCGCCUGGGUAGUACGGUCGCAAGGCUGAAACUCAAAGGAAUUGACGGGGACUCGCACAAGCAGUGGAGCAUGUGGUUUAAUCCGAUACAACGCGUAGAACCUUACCAAGGCUUGACAUGUUCGGCAAAGUUAUUGAAAGGUAAUGGAGGUUAUCCGGACACAGGUGCUGCAUGGCCGUCGUCAGUUCGUGCCGUGAGGUGUAUGGUUAAGUCCUAUAACGAACGUAACCCUUAGGUUUAGUUGCCAGCAUUCAGUUGGGGACUCUAGACCGACUGCCCGAGUAAUCGGGAGGAAGGAAAGGAUGACGUCUGGUCGUC
rnacentral:rRNA from 1 species